rnacentral:lncRNA from 1 species
AUCUAUAGAAAAAUUGGCUAGUAAGUGCAACAUCAUCCCACUUAAUAUCAGUUGUAAGUUGUCAAAAUUGUGAAGCAUACAAUAUUAUUGAUCGAUUGUCUUAUCAUAAAAUAUGGAUCUUAUUGGUUGCAACACGAAUUGCAUCAUGUUUUCCAUACAUGGAUCGAAACUCUACCAAAAAAGCCUCUAGAUUAUCCAAUAUUGGAUC